rfam:Felis catus isolate Cinnamon breed Abyssinian chromosome B3, whole genome shotgun sequence.
AGCUUUGUGAAGUGGCAGUAUCGUAGCCAGUGAGAUUUAUCUGAGGUGCUAUUAUUGCUAAUUGAAAAAUACAGAAUUAAAACAAGUCUGCUUUGUAUUUUCUUUAGUCAUGUUUUCAAUGCAUCAAAGUUUACCAUUUAA